CCCCACAUAUACCUAACAUCCAUCCUUCAUUCAUCAUCAGAUCCAGUCUACAUCUUAUGGAAGAAUCACAAACAGCUUUAUUCACCAACAGGGUAACGUGUGCAGGAACCCAGGGAGAGAAGCUCAUCUGGUUGUGUGUCUCCUUCAGACCCCUGAGGAAACUGCUCUCAUCAGAAAAACUGAAGAAUAUGUCCCAAAGCCUCUACCAAGCAACAGCACGUCUGGGAUCACAUGUAGCAGACGCUGUUAUCCUCAGUGAUGUACAGGGGGAUUCAAACCUGGACUCUUUGAUGUGCAGUCAACUACUCUGCCACUGAGCUAAACCCAGUAUCCUAGAAGGGCCGUCAAAUCAACCGAGAGGACUCAGGCAAACUUUUCUCAGGUAAAGUUCUGGAGAAACUAGAAGUUUUUAAAUAUACAUGUGUAUGUGUAAGAGAUAUGACCCCUUGUUAUCUG